rnacentral:rRNA from 1 species
UAUGUGAUCGUCUCUCGCAUAUCAAUAAGCGGAGGAAAAGAAACUAACAAGGAUUCCCCUAGUAACGGCGAGUGAAGCGGGAAGAGCUCAAAUUUGAAAUCUUAAAGGGUUUCCCUUUACGAAUUGUAGUUUAAAGAAGUGUUUUCUGUUGAGGUUUUGGUAAAAGUUCUUUGGAAUAGGACAUCAUAGAGGGUGAGAAUCCCGUAUUUGACCUUUACUUUCAACUUUGUGAUACACUUUCAAAGAGUCGGAUUGUUUGGGAAUGCAGUCCAAAAUGGGUGGUAAAUUUCAUCUAAAGCUAAAUAUUGGCGAGAGACCGAUAGCGAACAAGUACCGUGAGGGAAAGAUGAAAAGAACUUUGAAAAGAGAGUUAAACAGUACGUGAAAUUGUCAAAAGGGAAGCGUUUGACACCAGUGUUGUUUUUCUGAAAAUCAAUUAAAGAACUGUUUAUGCUAAGUUGUUUAGACUUUAUCAGCUAACUGUUUAGUUUUGAGCUUUUCUUUAAUGCAGCUUUUCAGUUAACAAGUCAACAUCAAUUUCUUUUGCUGUAAAAAAGCUUGAGGAAGGUGGCUUGAGAUUCGUCUUAAGUGUUUAUAGCCUCUUGCCUAUGCAGUCGGAGAGAUUGAGGUCUGCAGCGUAGAUCCUUCGGGGCUAAAUGCAUUUGUGCUAAGUUAUAGCAUUUUAUAGACAACUUGUUGACUAUGAUUUGUCUUGUAGCUUACUCGCUUAUGUUAUUUUACCUACGCUUAGGAUGUUGAUCUACAGAGCGAGAGU